GGCUCAGGAUGAACGCUAGCGGCAGGCCUAACACAUGCAAGUCGAGGGGCAGCACGGGUAGCAAUACUUGGUGGCGACCGGCGCACGGGUGAGUAACGCGUAUGCAACCUACCUUUUACCGGGGGAUAGCUCAGUGAAAACUGGAUUAAUACCCCAUAACACAGGGAUACCGCAUGGUAAUAUUUGUUAAAGCUCCGGCGGUAAAAGAUGGGCAUGCGUGACAUUAGCUAGUUGGUGAGGUAACGGCUCACCAAGGCGACGAUGUCUAAGGGGUCUGAGAGGACGAUCCCUCACACUGGUACUGAGACACGGACCAGACUCCUACGGGAGGCAGCAGUGAGGAAUAUUGGUCAAUGGGGGCAACCCUGAACCAGCCAUGCCGCGUGAAGGAAGAAGGUUCUAAGAAUUGUAAACUUCUUUUGUACGGGGGUAAUUAUAUCUACGUGUAGGUAUUUGAAAGUACUGUACGAAUAAGCAUCGGCUAACUCCGUGCCAGCAGCCGCGGUAAUACGGAGGAUGCAAGCGUUAUCCGGAUUUAUUGGGUUUAAAGGGUGCGUAGGCGGAUUUAUAAGUCAGCGGUGAAAGACUGUCGCUCAACGAUAGCAUUGCCGUUGAUACUGUAGAUCUUGAGUACAUUUGAGGUGGGCGGAAUGUGUAGUGUAGCGGUGAAAUGCUUAGAUAUUACACAGAACACCAAUUGCGAAGGCAGCUCACUAAACUGUAACUGACGCUGAGGCACGAAAGCGUGGGGAUCAAACAGGAUUAGAUACCCUGGUAGUCCACGCCGUAAACUAUGAUCACUGGAUGUAUGUGAUAUACAAUAUGCGUCUGAGUAAAAGCAUUAAGUGAUCCACCUGGGGAGUACGUCGGCAACGAUGAAACUC
rnacentral:rRNA from 1 species